UACCCUCACUUCUCUAAACAUAAUAAGUUUCGAAUGUUGAGAAAUAUUACAGUAACAACAAUCCUCAUGUUACUGACAGAUUUACACCUGAUCACUCCGGAGUCACAGAGAGACAGUGGUUUCGAGUCCAGAGCUCUGAAGGAGAACCAC